UACAAUCAAGAAGACCUAUUUAUCACAAGGAAAAUAAGUUUAAAAUCAAAUAGAAAACUGGGAAAGGCAACUACUAAAGGAACACGAGCAAAUAUAAACUCAUAACAAACAAACAGAAAGCGAGCAUGAAAGAUUAUGCACACCCCUUCUUCAUGAAAAUAGUGAAAAGGAUUCAUUCCCCUCUUUGGCUCUCAACAUAGAUCAUGGUUUGCUGAAGAUCACAUCACUCAAAACAUUAAACAAUGUUUUUAUAUUGAUGAAUGGUAAAAACAACUUCACAUGCUACUAGAGCAAAGGCAUAAUCCAUUAAUCAUAUUUGAAGACCUAAACAUGUCUCCUCUUAGGAUCAGGACUAGUACAGUCGUUAGAAAAAAAAGAACUCCAAACAUGCAACUAAUUGAUGGGUUUAAUAUAUAAAGAAAAUGAUAUUUAUCU